GACGAACGCUGGCGGCGUGCCUAAUACAUGCAAGUCGAGCGGACUUGACAGAGCUUGCUCUGUUCAAGUUAGCGGCGGACGGGUGAGUAACACGUGGGCAACCUGCCCUGCAGAUUGGGAUAACUCCGGGAAACCGGGGCUAAUACCGAAUAACAUUGAAAACCUCAUGGUUUUCUUUUAAAAGGCGGCUUCGGCUGUCACUGCAGGAUGGGCCCGCGGCGUAUUAGCUAGUUGGUGAGGUGACGGCUCACCAAGGCAACGAUGCGUAGCCGACCUGAGAGGGUGAUCGGCCACACUGGGACUGAGACACGGCCCAGACUCCUACGGGAGGCAGCAGUAGGGAAUCUUCCGCAAUGGACGAAAGUCUGACGGAGCAACGCCGCGUGAGUGAAGAAGGUUUUCGGAUCGUAAAACUCUGUUGUUAGGGAAGAACAAGUAUCGGAGUAACUGCCGGUACCUUGACGGUACCUGACCAGAAAGCCACGGCUAACUACGUGCCAGCCGCCGCAGUAACAC
rnacentral:rRNA from 1 species